rnacentral:rRNA from 1 species
UACGAAGGGGGCUAGCGUUGUUCGGAGUUACUGGGCGUAAAGGGCGCGUAGGCGGCGCAUCAAGUCAGGCGUGAAAGCCCUGGGCUCAACCCGGGAAUUGCGCUUGAGACUGGUGUGCUUGAGUACGGGAGAGGAUAGUGGAAUUCCCAGUGUAGAGGUGAAAUUCGUAGAUAUUGGGAAGAACACCAGUGGCGAAGGCGGCUUCCUGGUCUGCAACUGACGCUGUGGCGCGAAAGCUAGGGGAGCAAACGGG